ACUGGAGUGGUGGAAUGGCAGACACGCUGUCUUGAGGUGGCAGUGAAAUUAUUUUUCAUAGGAGUUCAAGUCUCCUCUUCAGUA
rnacentral:tRNA from 1 species